rnacentral:rRNA from 1 species
ACGACGCUGGCGGCGUGCCUAACACAUGCAAGUCGAACGAAGCUCCUGAUCUGAUCCUUCGGGUGAAGUGAAGGAAGACUUAGUGGCGGACGGGUGAGUAACGCGUGAGCAACCUGCCUUUCAGAGGGGGAUAACAGUUGGAAACGACUGCUAAUACCGCAUAACAUAUCGUUGUCGCAUGGCAAUGGUAUCAAAGCUGAGGCGCUGAGAGAUGGGCUCGCGUCCGAUUAGAUAGUUGGUGGGGUAACGGCCUACCAAGUCGACGAUCGGUAGCCGGACUGAGAGGUUGAACGGCCACAUUGGGACUGAGACACGGCCCAGACUCCUACGGGAGGCAGCAGUGGGGGAUAUUGCACAAUGGGCGAAAGCCUGAAUGCAGCAACGCCGCGUGAGGGAAGACGGUUUUCGGAUUGUAAACCUCUGUCUUUGGUGAAGAAGGAAGUGACGGUAACCAAGGAGGAAGCCACGGCUAACUACGUGCCAGCCGCAGC